rnacentral:rRNA from 2 species
GACCUCAAAUCAGGUAGGACUACCCGCUGAACUUAAGCAUAUCAAUAAGCGGAGGAAAAGAAACUAACAAGGAUUCCCCUAGUAACUGCGAGUGAAGCGGGAAAAGCUCAAAUUUAAAAUCUGUCAGUCUUUGGCUGUCCGAGUUGUAAUCUAGAGAAGUGUUGUCGGCGCUGGACCGUGUACAAGUCUCCUGGAAUGGAGCGUCAUAGAGGGUGAGAAUCCCGUCUUUGACACGGACUGCCAGGGCUUUGUGAUGCGCUCUCGAAGAGUCGAGUUGUUUGGGAAUGCAGCUCAAAAUGGGUGGUAAAUUCCAUCUAAAGCUAAAUAUUGGCGAGAGACCGAUAGCGAACAAGUACCGUGAGGGAAAGAUGAAAAGAACUUUGGAAAGAGAGUUAAACAGUACGUGAAAUUGCUGAAAGGGAAACGCUUGAAGUCAGUCAUGUUGUCCAGGGAUCAACCUUGCUUUUGCUUGGUGUACUUUCUGGUUGACGGGUCAGCAUCAAUUUUGACCAUUGGAAAAAGAUUGAGGGAAUGUGGCAUCCUUGGAUGUGUUAUAGCCCUUGGUUGCAUACAAUGGUUGAGAUUGAGGAACUC